AUCAUUGCCCUCAUCGGAGGAGAUGGUGGCGUUUGAAAUGGUUGGUUUACGGCGAGCUGCGUAGCAAACGACGAGGUUCAUCAAUUUUGAUCCAAUCUUCUGAUCUGAAAAAAGCGGUUUAGUAAUGGACCACGCUUUACAGUUUUCAUCAUUUUUGUACAAUCGGUAAUGGCGAGAGACUGAUAAUUUGGAAUUAUAGGGUUUUGUAGCUGGAGAAAAGGAAUUGGGGUAGCAAUUGUUGCAGAGAAGAGCUUGCGUUGUCGCCAUUACGCUGUUCGCCAUCCUCGUCCGGUUUUCAGUUUUCACUUGUCACCAC
rnacentral:lncRNA from 1 species